rnacentral:rRNA from 1 species
AGAUUCAAUAUUGUUGCAAGACAAUGUGCACUUCUCGCUUAGUAAGACGUUGUGAUCCAUUAGAAAUUGGCUAUUCCAAUAGCUAUGAGGUUAUCAAUAGGCCGGUGUAAAGUUCAUCAUUGCAAAUGUCUAGAUCUUAGAUGGUCGAGUGUAUUGUAUGUUGAGUGCACCGCGUUUGCUUAUAACUGUCUGAUGGAUUUUAAAGAUUAUAACAUUGAUGUUCGCAUCACCCAGGUUAUAUAUCCGAUCAACAACGGUUAAAUUUGGGAUACCUUUUGGACCCGUCUUGAAACACGGACCAAGGAGUCUAUCUAUUGCGCGAGUAAAUGAGUAUAUGAAACUUAUUUGCGUAAAAAACUUGACUGUUAUGGGAUUACRAGUUUUCAACGGUGCUCCUCCAUCCCGGGGUAUUUUCAUCAACACAUGCAGCAAUGUAUGUGGAAAAUAUACCAUGAGCGUAGUGGAUAUGACCCGAAAGAUGGUGAACUAUGCCUGAUCAGGUUGAAGUCAGGGGAAACCCUGAUGGAGGACCGAAGCAAUUCUGACGUGCAAAUCGAUUGUCAGAAUUGGGCAU